ensembl:misc_RNA Y_RNA Y RNA
GACUGUUCUGAAAGUAGUGAGUUCUUUUAAUUAUUGUUCAGUCAGUUCGAACUCCUUGUUACUUAUUGCUCUUUCCCUCCUCACUAUUGCACUUGACUGGUCUUGA